CCUACGGGAGGCAGCAGUGAGGAAUAUUGGUCAAUGGGCGGGAGCCUGAACCAGCCAAGCCGCGUGAGGGAAGAAGGUACAGCGUAUCGUAAACUUCUUUUGUCAGGGAACAAAGGCGGGGACUAGUCCCCGGAUGAGGGUACCUGAAGAAAAAGCAUCGGCUAACUCCGUGCCGGCAGCCGCGGUAAUACGGAGGAUGCGAGCGUUAUCCGGAUUUAUUGGGUUUAAAGGGUGCGCAGGCGGCCAGUUAAGUCAGCGGUAAAAGUCCGGGGCUCAACCCCGGCGAGCCGUUGAAACUGGCGGGCUGGAGUUGGAGAGAGGUACGCGGAAUGCGCGGUGUAGCGGUGAAAUGCUUAGAUAUCGCGCAGAACACCGAUUGCGAAGGCAGCGUACCGGCUCCACACUGACGCUGAGGCACGAAAGCGUGGGUAGCGAACAGGAUUAGAUACCCGGGUAGUC
rnacentral:rRNA from 1 species